CACCAGAUCGUCGUCACCUGCUUGGGACAGCCGGCUCAAAGUCAGACUACGUGGGAGCAGAUUGUUCCAGUAAUACAUCCCUGAGCCCGCUCGAUUUAAAACGACCAAAUUCGCCAGAAAAAAACUUCAAAAAAGCAGUCUAAUCACCGUGAACCUGCCCGGUAGGCGGCAGAGCGAGUUUCUGCGCGGAUCCCUGACCGUGAAAAGCGCCCUGUCCUAAUCGCUCAAUACUUCGGACUGACAUCAGUGUUUUAAGUCGCUUGUUUCUACCUCACAAUUGCCCACCUCCCGAUAAUGCUAUGGGACACAGCCUUUGUUUUCUGUCACUGUUUCCCAGCAGGGAUUUUAAUCUUCCCCAGGAAUGGCAAGGCUCUGACCUGAAGACUGGCUUUUACUUACAGAAACUUUGGUUUCAUGGCUGGUGGUGCGAUUAAAUUACAGAAUAAUAACCCCCACCCCCCCUUGCGUAAUGAGACUCCCCUUAAUAUUCAUCAUGAUCCGAGCUUUUUGU